UACGUAGGGUGCGAGCGUUGUCCGGAAUCAUUGGGCGUAAAGCGCACGUAGGCGGUCUGUUAUGUCGGAUGUGAAAGCCCUUGGCUCAACUGAGGAAGUGCAUCCGAAACUGGCAGGCUAGAGUACUAAAGAGGGUCGCGGAAUUCCCGGUGUAGAGGUGAAAUUCGUAGAUAUCGGGAGGAACACCGGUGGCGAAGGCGGCGACCUGGGUAGAUACUGACGCUGAGGUGCGAAAGCGUGGGGAGCAAACAGG
rnacentral:rRNA from 1 species